GAUGAACGCUAGCGGCAGGCUUAACACAUGCAAGUCGAGGGGCAUCGGGUGAUGUUUAGCGUUAAACGCAUUAUGCCGGCGACCGGCGAACGGGUGCGUAACGCGUGAGAAACAUACCUAUUACAGGAGGAUAAACUUUGGAAACGAGGCCUAAUACUCCAUGUUAUUAGUAUAUGGCAUCAUAUAUUACUAAAAGCGCAUAAGCGGUAAUAGAUUGUCUCGCGUGACAUUAGCUAGAUGGAAAGGUAACGGCUUCCCAUGGCAACGAUGUCUAGGGGUUCUGAGAGGAAGAUCCCCCACACUGGUACUGAGACACGGACCAGACUCCUACGGGAGGCAGCAGUGAGGAAUAUUGGACAAUGGAUGGAAAUCUGAUCCAGCCAUGCCGCGUGCAGGACACAGCCCUAUGGGUUUUCAACUGCUUUUGUAUUGGAGCAAUAAACUGUACGAGUACAGAGAUGAGCGUACAAUACGAAUCAGCAUCGGCUAACUCCGUGCCAGCAGCCGCGGUAAUACGGAGGAUGCAAGCGUUAUCCGGAUUUAUUGGGUUUAAAGGGUGCGUAGGCUGUUUAUUAAGUCAGUGGUGAAAUGCUAAUGCUUAACAUUGGAACUGCCAUUGAAACUGAUAAGCUAGAAUUUGGAUGCUGUUAGCGGAAUGUGUAAUGUAGCGGUGAAAUGCAUAGAUAUUACCCAGAACGUCGAUUGCGAAGGCAGCUAACAAAACCAUAAUUGACGCUGAUGCACGAAAGUGUGGGGAUCAAACAGGAUUAGAUACCCUGGUAGUCCACACUGUAACCGAUGAUAACUAUCUGUUGGCGAUAUACAGUCAGUGGACCAGCGAAAGCGAUAAGUUAUCCACCUGGGGAGUACGACCGCAAGGUUGAAACUCAAAGGAAUUGACGGGGGCCCGC
rnacentral:rRNA from 1 species